rnacentral:lncRNA from 1 species
ACUUUCAUCUUAUUAACAAUUAAGGGGACAAACAAAUUCACUGACAUUUAUAUUUUGGUGCAGGGUUUUGCACAGAAACAUUGUGAAACCCUUGCACUGAUUUUUUUUUAAAAAAAAAUAUUCUGUUUGCUGACACAAUGGAGAAUUGAGCCAAAUAACUUGCCUUUAGCAAGACAAAUACUCUCUCAAUCAACUGUGUCCUGCCUCAUUUUGAGACAAGAUAGCCAGGCUAGUCUAGAACUAGCCACAGUGCAGCCUUUAUUUCUCUAGUGGCAGGCAAAAUAAGAUAGUCACUGUGUCUUCCUCAUUUUCACUUUUAUCAUAAAUACAUUUCAUUGCUUAUUUACCCAGAUUGUCACCAAUCUCAUAAUUCUCCUACCUCAGUCUCCUCAGUGGUAUUUGACUACAGGAGAAGCAAAGACCAGACUGUGAGAUCUUCAACUUUACAGAAAUGCUCAGACCAUGUUACUAGGUAACAAAGGAGCUUCCAUUCAUGGGUUUCUCUGUUGCUUUGGAGCCUAUCCUGGAACCAGCUCUUGCAGACCAAGCUGAUCUCGAACUCACAGAGAUCCAACUGUCUUUGCCUCCCAAGUGCUGGGAUUAAAGGCGUUUGCCCAUACUACCCUGCUAUUCCUGACUCUUGAUAACAGCCAUAAAGACAGAGAAUGGACAAACAGUCCUGUUAAAGUAAGCACUGGACUUUUCCAAGAUUUUUAUAUUGUUCCCUAAAUUAUCUUUGCAGGGAAAACUCUACAAGGUUUUAUUUUCCCAUGUCUUAAGCACAAAACUGAAACCUAGGGCUCUUAAGUAAAUUAAGAGUUUUAGCUUAGUUCUGGCUGAAACAGAUGUUAUGUGCCCUUUGAUGAAAAUGCUUCUUAUGGAUACAACAUCAGGAUUGGGUGAUGGCUCAGUGGAGGAUUUCUUUCCUAGUGUUUGCAACAUUGGUUGGUAUCCCCAGCACUGCAAAAAUAAAUAAAUAAAUAAAUAAAUAAAUAAAUAAAUAAAUAGAUCUCAUGAUAGAAAUAAAUAACUUCAGUACUGAUAAAUCAGUAACAGAGUUGUAAAAGAAACCCAGAAGCCUAUAAGAAUUCAAAAUAAUAAACGUCACCUUCCAAAGAGCAGCUUUUAACUUCAUGUUAUUCCCUUCUCUAAUUAAAUUUCCCCUGCACAUUAAAAAAGUUUUCGGAAUAGUAAUUAUAGAUAUUUUCCUUUGGUUAGAACAUCUCCCAUUCUUUAAAGAAGAUAUGGGUAAUCUUGAAAAUGACUGACAAAUAUUUUUAUCCUUCAUACCUUUAUAAAAAGGUGAUGUCUAGACAUAUGGAUAGAAUAUACAUGACACAUAUCUUAGCUAAUU